GAGGGCUCAAGGCAGAUGGGACAGGGAAGCUGAAUCUGAGGUCCGUGGACGGAAGAAGUCUCAGGCUAAUAGGCAGCCGGCAAUACCCACGGAGCCCCAUGACUUUGGACCCUUCCUCCUCAUCUUCUUUUCCUCAGGACCAGGACACUAGCAUUUCCUGCCCAGUGAAAGUGUCCCUAGGCCAAUAGGCCAGGGCUCCAGGCUGCCAUCAGGAUGGUGGGUGAAGGCCCCUACCUUAUCUCAGAUCUGGAUCGGCGAGGCCAGCGGAGAACCUUUAUAGAAAGAUAUGACUCCAGCCUAAAAACCAUGAUCCCGGUGAGACCCUAUGCAAGGCUGGCACCCAACCCUGUGGAUGAUGCAGGACUGCUCUCCUUUGCUACGUUUUCCUGGAUCACACCAGUGAUGGUUAGGGGCUACAAGCACACAUUGACUGUGGAUACCCUGCCCCCGCUGUCACCAUAUGACUCAUCGGACACCAAUGCCAAAAGAUUUCGAAUCCUUUGGGAUGAAGAGGUAGAAAAAGUGGGUCCUGAGCAAGCCUCUCUGGGCCGAGUAGUCUGGAAAUUCCAGAGGACACGUGUUUUGAUGGAUAUUGUGGCCAACAUCCUGUGUGUGAUCAUGGCAGCCAUAGGGCCGACGGUUCUCAUUCACCAAAUCCUCCAACAUACCGAGAGCAUUUCUAGGAAUGUCUGGGCUGGCAUUGGCCUGUGCAUAGCCCUUUUUGCUACUGAGUUUACCAAAGUGCUCUUUUGGGCCCUUGCCUGGGCCAUAAAUUACCGCACAGCAAUCCGGCUGAAGGUGGCUGUCUCCACUUUGGUUUUCGAAAACCUGGUGUCCUUCAAGACGCUGGCACACAUCUCUGUUGGUGAGGUGCUCAAUAUACUAUCAAAUGAUAGUUAUUCCUUGUUUGAAGCUGCCUUGUUUUGUCCCUUGCCAGCCACCAUCCCUAUCCUAAUGGCUGUUUGUGCAGUGUAUGCUUUUUUCAUUCUGGGCCCCACAGCCCUCAUCGGGAUAUCUGUGUACAUCGUAUUCAUCCCCAUCCAGAUGUUUAUGGCUAAGCUCAAUUCAGCUUUCCGACGAUCAGCAAUUUCGGUGACAGACAAGCGAGUUCAGACAAUGAAUGAGUUUCUGACCUGCAUAAAGCUGAUUAAAAUGUACGCCUGGGAAAAAUCUUUUACCAAUACCAUUCAAGAUAUAAGGAAGCAGGAAAGGAAAUUACUGGAAAAAGCUGGAUUCGUCCAAAGUGGAAACUCAGCCCUGGCCCCCAUUGCAUCCACAAUAGCCAUUGUAUUGACCUUCACCUGCCACAUCCUCCUCAGACGCAGGCUCACUGCCCCGGUGGUGUUUAGUGUGAUUGCCAUGUUUAAUGUAAUGAAGUUUUCGAUUGCAAUCUUGCCUUUCUCUGUCAAAGCCAUGGCCGAAGCCAAUGUCUCUCUGAGGAGAAUGAAGAAAAUUCUCAUAGAUAAAAGCCCCCCAUCUUACAUCACCCAACCAGAAGACCCAGAUACUGUCUUGCUUUUAGCAAAUGCCACCUUGACAUGGGAUCAAGAAACCAGCAUAAAAAGUGACCUAAGGAAAGUGCAGAACCAAAAACAUUGUCUCAAGAAACAGAGGCUAGAGGCCUACAGUUUGGGUUCAUCAGCCCACGGAGUUCCUGGCCCAGAGGAGCAAAGUGGUAGCCCCUCAAAAUUUGUUCUGCACAAUAUAAACUUUGUGGUGAGAAAGGGGAAGGUUUUGGGAAUAUGUGGGAAUGUUGGAAGUGGAAAGAGCUCUCUCAUUGCAGCUCUUCUAGGACAGAUGCAGUUACAGCAAGGGAUCGUGGCAGUCAAUGGGACUGUGGCCUAUGUUUCCCAGCAAGCCUGGAUCUUUCAUGGAAAUGUGAGAGAAAACAUACUCUUUGGAGAAAAGUAUGAUCACCAAAGGUAUCAGCACACGGUUCGUGUCUGUGCCCUUCAGGAAGACCUGAGCAGCCUUCCUUAUGGAGACCUGACUGAGAUUGGGGAGCGGGGCCUCAACCUCUCUGGGGGGCAGAGACAGAGGAUCAGUCUGGCCCGCGCUGUCUACUCAAACCAUGAAAUCUACCUGCUGGAUGACCCCCUGUCAGCAGUAGAUGCCCACGUGGGGAAGCACGUUUUUGAAGAGUGCAUUAAGAAGACACUCAAGGGGAAGACAAUUGUCCUGGUGACCCACCAGCUGCAGUUCUUAGAGUCUUGUGAUGAAGUCAUUCUGUUAGAAGACGGAGAGAUUUGUGAAAAGGGAACCCACAAGGAGUUAAUGGAGGAGAGAGGGUGCUAUGCCAAACUGAUUCACAAUCUCCGAGGGUUGCAAUUCAAGGAUCCCGAGCACAUCUACAAUGCAGCCAUGGUGGAAGCCCUUAAGGAGAGCACCGCUGAGAGAGAUGAAGAUGCUGUUUUGGCUCCAAGAGAUGGGAAAGAUGAAGGAAGAGAACCUGAAACAGACUCAGAAUUUUUAGACAUAAAAGUUCCUCUGCACCAGCUCGUCCAGACUGAAUCCCCCCAGGAAGGAACCGUGACCUGGAAAACGUAUCACAUGUACAUUAAAGCUUCUGGAGGGUACCUCCUCUCUCUGUUCGUGGUGUCCCUCUUCCUCCUGAUGAUCGGCAGCUCUGCCUUCAGCAAUUGGUGGCUGGGUCUCUGGCUAGACAAGGGCUCCCAGAUGACCUGUGGGCCCCAGGGCAACAAGAGUGCAUGUGAGAUUGGUGUAGUGCUGGCAGACACGGGGCAGCGUGUGUUCCAGUGGGUGUACACAGGGAGCAUGGUGUCUGUACUGACGUUUAGCGUCAUCAAAGGUUUCACCUUCACCAAGACCACGCUGAUGGCGUCCUCCUCAUUACACGACCUCGUGUUUGACAAGAUCCUAAAGAGCCCAAUGAGCUUCUUUGACACGACCCCCACUGGCAGGCUAAUGAACCGUUUUUCCAAGGACAUGGACGAGCUGGAUGUGCGGCUGCCGCUUCACGCGGAGAAUUUUCUGCAGCAGUUUUUUAUGGUGCUGUUUAUUCUUGUGAUAUUGGCUGCUGUGUUUCCUGCCGUCCUUUUAGUCCUGGCUGGCCUUGCUGUUGGCUUCUUCAUUCUUUUACGCAUUUUCCAUAGAGGAGUCCAGGAGCUCAAGAAGGUGGAGAACAUCAGCCGGUCUCCCUGGUUCUCCCACAUCACUUCAUCCAUGCAGGGCCUGGGCAUCAUCCACGCCUAUGACAAGAAGGAGGACUGCAUUAGCAAGUUUAAGAUGCUAAAUGAUGAAAACUCCAGCCAUCUCCUAUACUUUAACUGUGCUCUCAGGUGGUUUGCUCUAAGAAUGGACGUCCUCAUGAACAUUGUGACCUUCAUUGUGGCCUUGUUGGUGACCCUGAGCUUCUCCUCAAUUAGUGCUUCCUCCAAAGGCUUGUCUUUGUCUUACAUCAUCCAGCUCAGCGGACUGCUCCAAGUGUGCGUACGCACAGGGACAGAGACCCAGGCCAAAUUCACCUCUGUGGAGCUGCUCCGAGAGUAUAUUUUGACCUGUGUUCCUGAAUUCACUCACCCCCUCAAAGUGGAGGCUUGUCCCCAUGACUGGCCCAGCCGUGGGGAGAUAACAUUCAGAGACUAUCAGAUGAGAUACAGAGACAACACUCCCCUGGUUCUUGAUGGGCUGAACUUGGUCAUUCAAAGUGGGCAGACAGUUGGGAUCGUUGGAAGAACAGGUUCUGGAAAGUCAUCAUUGGGAAUGGCUCUGUUUCGUCUAGUGGAGCCCGCCGGCGGUACGAUCUUCAUUGAUGAGGUGGAUAUCUGCACGAUUGGUUUGGAAGACCUCAGAACCAAGCUGACCGUGAUCCCCCAGGAUCCUGUCCUGUUUGUAGGUACAGUAAGGUACAACUUGGAUCCCUUUGAGAGCCACUCGGAUGAGAUGCUCUGGCAGGUUCUGGAGAGGACAUUCAUGAGAGACACAAUAAUGAAACUCCCGGAAAAAUUACAGGCAGAAGUCACAGAAAAUGGAGAAAACUUCUCAGUAGGGGAACGUCAGCUGCUUUGUAUGGCCCGUGCGCUUCUCCGUAAUUCAAAAGUAAGGAAACAGCACGGAAAAUGGAUUGGUCAAAUUUUGGAUAUUUCCCGCAGCGCCACUCAGUCCAGGAGAUCAUUCUCCUUGACGAAGCCACUGCCUCCAUGGACUCCAAGACUGACACCCUUGUUCAGAGCACCAUCAAAGAUGCCUUCAAAGGCUGCACGGUACUGACCAUAGCCCACCGCCUCAACACAGUUCUCAACUGUGACCUUGUCCUGGUCAUGGAAAAUGGGAAGGUGGUCGAGUUUGACAAGCCUGAAGUCCUUGCUGAGAAGCCAGAUUCUGCAUUUGCGAUGUUACUAGCCGCAGAAAACAAAGUUCGACUGUAGAAGUCCCUGAGGGGGCCACAUCCCUUGACUUUAGAGGAUGCUUCAGUUGAGUUGGAAGGACCUUCAGGAGAAGGGCCUGCCAUUUCCACAGGCAACACUGGCCCUCUGUCCCUCCCACCCCUGACAUACAGGCUGAGCUGAGGCAGAGGUUGCUGUCCUGCCUUACCCAGCCUAUGCCUCCCGACCUCAUCUGGCGUGCUUGGGGUUAGUUCUGGGUGGUGAACUGAGGCAGAAAAAGCUAAUGGAUUAAAAAACUGACCCCACCUCCUAAAACCCCAAGGCCCCCAUCAGUGUAUUCCCAUCAAUACCACCUCAGUGCCUGAGAAUGGAAACACUAACUUCCAGUGAAAUCCGAUCAAAUAGAAUAGGAAAAUGCCUAAGGAUGGAAUUUGUAAAAGGUUUAUUGCCUUGUUACCAGAAGGGAAAAGAGCAGAGUUUCCUUUCCAUUGAAGUCCUAUUCACAUCUAUUUUGAGUGUGUGACAAGCAGUAACUACACUGAUCUGUAGCAUGAAAGAUUGAUUACAGUGUUUGAUGGAAAAGAAUUUUUUUAAAAAAUCAUAUGUUCCAUUUGAUCUAUUAGAAUAACGAGGAAAACAAAAGGUUGGAGUUUCUCUGUAAAAGACAUUUUUAUAUCUCCUAUAUUGGUCAUUAAAAUGCAGUAGGAAUUUAAACUA